UUUGGUGCAUCACUUUCUAUUUUUUUUCUCCCUCUCUUUUUCAUAGCCAGCCGAUUCUAUACAUGUCACAGAAGAUGACCGUUUUCUUCACAAUCUAAUCAUGGAAGAAGAUGGAAAAGAUAAUUUUACAGCUGUGAUAAUAACUGGCGUUCAGUCUGUACAUGUACAGUUUUUAAAGAAUGAUUAUCAUUUGUGUACUAGGCAGUUAGCGCAUAUCUACCAUUACUACAUCCAUGGCCUAGAGGAAAUGUUUUGAAUAAAAGCAAAAUCAAUUCAUUGGUACACAUUGAGGUACCACCAAUGUUUUGUAACAUGUUCAGAGAUGGAGACAAAGAAGGCUGUUUUUAUUUCAGGGAUAAAGUGAUACCAGAUCGUGUUGGAAAGUAUUGCAUUCAGUUUGCAUUUGUGGCUGAGAAAAACACAACACUUUAUAGUGAGCAGAUAACAGUGGAUGUUAUUCCAAACAAACCUGUGAAGUUGGUUCCACAUCCCUUGCCUCCAACACCAACAGUAUGUAAUGUUAAAGCUUGAAGCUAGUCGUACAUUGGUGAAGAACCUCUGGCUAAAAAUUGUGAUUGCUGAUAUACACACAAAGAGAAUUUAAAAUAUGGCUGGAAGUAACCUGAAUGGCAAAAUCACUGUGAAGAUCAUUUGGCCAUCUGAGGGCAUCACAGAAAUACCUCACUUUGACUCAAAGGAUAAUAUAACUGAGUUUCCAUUUAAAAAUGGAUCUGCUGAAAUCAGUGGCCUCAUCCUUUCUGAAAAUACCCCAGGGAAAGAUAGCACGGAAUAUGAAAUCAUGUUCAGUUUGGUUUCAUCAGCAAUAGAAGCAGAGAAAAUUGAACCAUACUACAUCCCUUUUAUAUUUUACAAUGGUAAUUAUUUUUUAAUAAAUGGAACCUAGGUAAAAUUAUGGAGAAGAUUGCU